GCCUGGUAGAGAACUUGACAACAACUUUCCUCAACAGGAUGAGGAGGGAGUGGUUUUGAUAACAUCCUGAUAUCAUGAAGAACUGAACUAAUAUGUUAAAUUUGACUUGCCUGUGGAGCAACCAGUAAUAUAUUGGGAAUGAUUUAGGGAGAGCACAUCUUCUGGAAAUGACUGAAGAUGAUAAGAUCCGUGAAAGUCAGUUGAUCACAGCAUGUCUAGGAAUCAUCAGUGCCUUGUGCUGUAAAAAGCAAAAUUAUUCUUGGUGUGAAAUAGGACCAGUGAGCAGGUGCUAAGAAGGUCUCUUUGGCAGUUGAUGGAAAUAGAGAAUAUUUACAAGAAACCCACCCCUUCACAAGAUGAAAAACUAGAGGACAAUAAAGAAUAUGAUUUUUUUCCCCUGGAUGUAA